AGAAUCAACGCUGGCGGCGUGCCUAACACAUGCAAGUCGCACGAGAAAGGGGCUUCGGCCCUGAGUAAAGUGGCGCACGGGUGAGUAACACGUGAAUGAUCUACCUCCGAGUGGGGAAUAACCAAAAAGAAAUUUUGGCUAAUACCGCAUAACACUUACGAGUCAAAGCAGCAAUGCGCUUGGAGAGGAGUUCGCGGCAGAUUAGCUAGUUGGCGGGGUGAUGGCCCACCAAGGCGAUGAUCUGUA
rnacentral:rRNA from 1 species